rnacentral:tRNA from 1 species
GCAUUUUUAGCUCAGUUGGUUAGAACAUGGUGUUAAUGACGCCAAGUUCACAGGUUCAAUCCCUGCUUACUGCA